rnacentral:ncRNA from 1 species
UACUUGGUUGAUCCUGCCAAGGAAGCACACUUAGGUCAUAGAUUAAGCCAUGCAAGUGUUAGUUCAGGUAACGAAACUGCGAAUAGCUCAUUAAUACGCUCAGAAUCUAUUUGGCGGCGACCAACAGGUCUUAAAUGGAUAGCAGCAGCAACUCUGGUGCUAAUACAUGCGAUUGUUUCUCCAGAUGUGAAUUAUGGAGGAAAAGUUGACCUCAUCAGAGGCACGCCAUUCGACUGAGUGACCUAUCAGCUUGUACUUAGGGUCUUUACCUAGGUAGGCUAUCACGGGUAACGGGCGGUUACCGUCGGACUGCCGGAGAAGGCGCCUGAGAGAUAGCGACUAUAUCCACGGGUAGCAGCAGGCGCGAAACUUUCCCACUCGAGACUUUCGGAGGAGGUAAUGACCAGUUCCAUUGGUGCCUUUUGGUACUGUGGAUAGGGGUACGGUUUUCCACCGUACCGAAACCUAGCAGAGGGCCAGUCUGGUGCCAGCAGCUGCGGUAAUUCCAGCUCUGCGAGUUUGCUCCCAUAUUGUUGCAGUUAAAACGCCCGUAGUCUGAAUUGGCCAGCAAUGGUCGUACGUAUUUUUACGUUCACUGUGAACAAAUCAGGACGCUUAGAGUAUGGCCACAUGAAUGACUCAGCGCAGUAUGAAGUCUUUGUUUUCUUCCGAAAACAAGCUCAAUGAGAGCCAUCGGGGGUAGAUCUAUCUCAUGACGAGUGGUGGAAUACUUUGACUCAUGAGAGAGAAGCUGAGGCGAAGGCGUCUACCUAGAGGGUUUCUGUCGAUCAAGGGCGAGAGUAGGAGUAUCCAACAGGAUUAGAGACCCUGGUAGUUCCUACCUUAAACGAUGCCGACAGGAGUUUGUCAUUUGUUAAUGGCAGAAUCUUUGGAGAAAUCAUAGUUCUUGGGCUCUGGGGGAACUACGACCGCAAGGCUGAAACUUGAAGGAAUUGACGGAAGGGCACACCAGGGGUGGAGCCUGUGGCUUAAUU